UGACUUUCUUACACAAUGGGGAAGCACAUCAAGCACAAUGCCCAACUUUUCGUCUUACUUUCCAUGGUUCUUCUAAGUUGCCUGGUUUCUUCAGCCGUACAGGGACAAAGCAUUGCGGACAAGGGGAGCAACACGGCAGCUAUACGGCCUAACGAUGACCCUGAUUGUGAGAAAGAGAAGUUGCAGUGGCCAUGAAGAGCCCAGUACUGCUGCAACUAUUUUGCUUAUACGGGUCCAUGCUACGAUGACUAUACUGUCUGCAGAGCCCAUUGCCCGUGAUUCAACACAAUUACCAAGAAUAAUUUUCAUGUAAUAAGCAAAAGAUGAUAUGCAAUAAGCUUUCUUGUCUGUUUUUACUUUUCUGAUUGCUGAAGUGAAUAAAGAUGUGAUUUUCUAAA